UAGUCUUCGGGGACUCUUAGCCUUUCACUUAACUCACCACAGAGUCCUUGUUCUCUCUUGCAGCCACUAAAUCUCAGGAUCUAGACCAGAAGAGACAUGCAAAUACUUCCACGAUGGAGCAAGCCUCAGUGGCUUUCUGGUAAAAUGGAUCUGUCCUCCUCCAUCCAGUGGAAGGAGUUCGAGGCCAAGGACCACAGAAAGAGGCUGGCAAAGCGGCCGAGGACACUGAUUUUGAUGUGAACGUCACACUGAAGCAGCUUCCUCUGAGGAGCCAGUUGCCUCAGUUACACAGAUUACUUACAACUCUCAGCUGGACAAGGGUAUUUUGAUGCUUUCUAAAACUGUCCUAGCCAUGGCCUUUGCUCAGUCGCCAAGUCUUCUUCCUGGCCAUUUGGUGUGCUACACAUGGUCAAUUUUAUGAACACGGAUGAGGCCAUCCAAGCUGGCUUUUUAUUGCCCUCCUAUUAAAACUCAGUGAUUUAGACUGAGGUUGUUUAACUUGAUGGACUUGUUAUAAAGAAGGCAAUAAUGGGCUUUGGUGAGAAGUACAAUAGGUCUAAUUUGGAUAAGGUGAUUGAGUAGAGGUUGGCCAGGCUUUGGGAGACAGGGGAGGAGAUGAGGAAGGGCCUGGCGUGCUAUGGCUCAACGGAGAGCUGGACACAACUGAAUGCCUGAACAGCAAUGAAUGAUUUAAUAGAGAAGAGGCCCUGAGCCUUAGGGCCAAAAGGGACCUUCAAGGCCAUCUAGUCCAUCCUCUCCUUUUUUGGAUGAUGAGCUCAGGGCCCCAACCAGUUAAAUGAUUUGCUCAAAUUAACAGAGGUGACAAGGGGUGGAUGAGGGACACAGGAGGUACUUAAUGUAUACUUGUUGACUAGACUGACUCUGCCUGUCCCCUAUAUUGGGAACCCUAGAGUCCCAAGGUUCUAGGGCGGCAGUUGGGAGGGGGAUGUGAUUAACUGGCAAAUAGGACAAUCUCACUGGAUCCUCCCCUGGCUUCUAGGAUACCCUAGCAGGGAAAGAAGAAAGACCCCCAAGAUGCCCCACCCAAUGCAGAAAAAGGGGUGGCAAGGGGUCCUGCAAGAUCUCAGGACGGAGAGCCAGAGAACUCAGAAGAUAUGGGAGAUCUCUAGAGCAGAAGGAAACCAGAAGAGAGAGGAUAUGCAACCCCUAAGCCUGGCCACUUCUCCAGGGACUGCUGCAAAUGGGAGUUGUGGCCCCUAAAGCAGAAGGAAUUUAAGGAAAAGGCCCUGCAAGCUGAGAGCAAGGGGCAGCCAUGGAGUGGAGGGUGCUGAGAUUGCUGGACUAAGACUAAAAUGAGGGGCAACAUUUAUGAUGAGGCCAGGAAAGAGAAGAAAAGUGGGGAAAUGCACUGGGCUCAAAGAUGUCAGACACUUGUGAAUUUGGAACCUCCUUAUAUUUUUAGCUGUUUAUACUACAACCAACCUAGCUGAAACUCUAUAGCAAAGAUGUGGAAAAUGAAGCAUCAGCACGCUAAAUUAGAGCUGACCAUCUUCAAGAGAGUUGCUUUCCUGUAUUUCACUUCCACAUUCAAAAUGUGAAGUUUAUUUUUAAAUCAAGCAUAUCAUCAAUAAAUUAGGAAAUACUGUAAA